CCUACGGGCGGCAGCAGUGGGGAAUAUUGCACAAUGGGGGAAACCCUGAUGCCGCGACUCCGCGUGAGUGAAGAAGUAUCUCGGUACGUAAAGCUCUAUCAGCAGGGAAGAAAAUGACGGUACCUGACUAAGAAGCCCCGGCUAACUAGGUGCCAGCAGCCGAGGUAAUACGCAAGGGGCAAGCGUUAUCCGGAUUUCCUGGGGGUAAAGGGAGCGUAGACGGCAUCACAAGUCUGGAGUGAAAUCCUGGGGUUUAACCCCGGAACUGCUUUUGAAACUGGGCGGCUGGAGUGCAGGAGGGGUAAGCGGAAUUCGUAGGGUAGCGGUGAAAUGCGUAGAUAUUAGGAGGAACACCGGUGGCGAAGGCGGCUUACUGGACUGUAACUGACGUUGAGGCUCGAAAGCGUGGGGAGCAAACAGGAUUAGAUACCCCAGUAGUC
rnacentral:rRNA from 1 species